rnacentral:rRNA from 1 species
GACGAACGCUGGCGGCGUGCCUAAUACAUGCAAGUUGAGCGCUGAAGGUUGGUACUUGUACCAACUGGAUGAGCAGCGAACGGGUGAGUAACGCGUGGGGAAUCUGCCUUUGAGCGGGGGACAACAUUUGGAAACGAAUGCUAAUACCGCAUAAAAACUUUAAACACAAGUUUUAAGUUUGAAAGAUGCAAUUGCAUCACUCAAAGAUGAUCCCGCGUUGUAUUAGCUAGUUGGUGAGGUAAAGGCUCACCAAGGCGAUGAUACAUAACCGACCUGAGAGGGUGAUCGGCCACAUUGGGACUGAGACACGGCCCAAACUCCUACGGGAGGCAGCAGUAGGGAAUCUUCGGCAAUGGACGAAAGUCUGAACGAGCAACGCCGCGGGAGUGAAGAAGGUUUUCGGAUCGUAAAACUCUGUUGGUAGAGAAGAACGUUGGUGAGAGUGGAAAGCUCAUCAAGUGACGGUAACUACCCAGAAAGGGACGGCUAACUACGUG